UACAGAGGUCUCAAGCGUUGUUCGGAUUCAUUGGGCGUAAAGGGUGCGUAGGCGGCGCGGUAAGUCGGGUGUGAAAUCUUGGAGCUUAACUCCGAAACUGCAUUCGAUACUGCCGUGCUUGAGGACUGGAGAGGAGACUGGAAUUUACGGUGUAGCGGUGAAAUGCGCAGAUAUCAGGAGGAACACCGGUGGCGAAGGCGGGUCUCUGGGCCGAUACUGACGCUGAGGCACGAAAGCUAGGGGAGCAAACAGG
rnacentral:rRNA from 1 species